CCCCCAGCGCCGUCGGCGUCGCUGCCCCAGACACAGACACUGCCUCGAGAGGCCUCACAGAGGCGGGGGCAGAAGGCGGCGACCCAGAGCCGCCACAUCCCCCGCCUUGGGCGCCGUCACAGUCCCCAGACGCCCUGGACUCCUGCAGUCUACGAAGACGCGCGGGGGACGGCGUGGUUCCGAGAGAGGGCGCCAAAGGCGACGUGCCGGCCGCCAGCUCCAGGCCGAGCCCCGAGCGCCUGCAGGAACACGCCCCUUCACCCGGCGCGGGACGCAGAGCUGCGAGAGAAUCUUGUUCAGCGCGGACUCAACGCCAGGGCGCCGCCUAGAGGACAGGAGGGGAUGUAAACCGUUUGAAGUUCAUCAACACGGUGAAGUUUUAUUGUAUUUCCGGUCCCCAAGAUUUAUACCCGGGAGGGGGAGCGGGCGGCCAGGUGGACUCCCUCGCUACCUCGGACUUCCCUGCCGGACACGUGGCCACUCGGACCCUCGCUUCUGGGCGAGGGCGGGAGGGAGCCUGGACUGGGCCGCGGCCGCUGGCUCCGCACCUUCCGACGGCCGCGCACUGCCGGCACCGCCGCCGCCCAGGUAAGUC
rnacentral:lncRNA from 1 species